ACAUGCAAGUCGAACGGGUGUAGCAGUACACUAGUGGCGCACGGGUGCGUAACGCGUAACCAACCUGCCCUUGACUGGGGGAUAGCCCGCCGAAAGGCGGAUUAAUACCGCAUAAACUAGCAACUCGGCAUCGAGUAACUAGUAAAGAUUUAUUGGUCAAGGAUGGGGUUGCGUGACAUUAGCUAGUUGGCGGGGUAAGGGCCCACCAAGGCGACGAUGUCUAGGGGAGCUGAGAGGCUGAUCCCCCACACUGGCACUGAGAUACGGGCCAGACUCCUACGGGAGGCAGCAGUAGGGAAUAUUGGGCAAUGGGCGAGAGCCUGACCCAGCCAUGCCGCGUGCCGGAUGAAGGCCUUCUGGGUUGUAAACGGCUUUUCUCAGGGAAGAAAACGACCAUGCGUGGUACACUGACGGUACCUGAGGAAUAAGCACCGGCUAACUCCGUGCCAGCAGCCGCGGUAAUACGGAGGGUGCAAGCGUUGUCCGGAUUUAUUGGGUUUAAAGGGUGCGUAGGUGGUUUGAUAAGUCCGGGGUGAAAGCCCACAGCUCAACUGUGGAACUGCCCUGGAUACUGUCAGACUUGAGGGUAGACGAGGUUGGCGGAAUAGAAGGUGUAGCGGUGAAAUGCAUAGAUACCUUCUAGAACCCCGAUUGCGUAGGC
rnacentral:rRNA from 1 species